rnacentral:rRNA from 1 species
GACGAACGCUGGCGGCGUGCUUAACACAUGCAAGUCGAACGGAAAGGCCCUGCUUUUGUGGGGUGCUCGAGUGGCGAACGGGUGAGUAACACGUGAGUAACCUGCCCUUGACUUUGGGAUAACUUCAGGAAACUGGGGCUAAUACCGGAUAGGAGCUCCUGCUGCAUGGUGGGGGUUGGAAAGUUUCGGCGGUUGGGGAUGGACUCGCGGCUUAUCAGCUUGUUGGUGGGGUAGUGGCUUACCAAGGCUUCGACGGGUAGCCGGCCUGAGAGGGUGACCGGCCACAUUGGGACUGAGAUACGGCCAAGACUGCUACGUGAGGCAGCAGUGGGGAAUAGUGCACAAUGGGCGGAAGCCUGAUGCAGCAACGCCGCGUGCGGGAUGACGGCCGUCGGGUUGGAAACCGCUUUCGCCUGGGACGAAGCGUGAGUGACGGUAAUGGGUAAAGAAGCACCGGCUAACUACGUG